rnacentral:lncRNA from 1 species
AAAUUUUGCAGAAAUACACAUGCUCUGCUAACAAUUUUUAUGAACCAAACUCAAUAGUUUCACAAUCAUCACAACUAUUUUCUUCAAUUAUUUUCCAUUUACAAAUUGGGUACACAUGAUUGAGAUUCAGAUUUGGGUCUGACGAGUUUUUGCUGAAUUCAGGUGGGUUAAUUUUUGAACUUGUAUUUGGGAUAACUGGGGACUAAGAGCAGGCUAUUAAUGAUGAUUUAGUGGAUUGUGGAG